GGAGUGGCGCAACGGUAGCGCACCUGUCUUGUAAACAGGCGGUUGCGAGUUCGAAUCUCGUCUCC
rnacentral:tRNA from 1 species